ACUACGGGUAUGCUUAGUACGGCGAGUGAGCGGCAAAAGCUCAAAUUUGAAAUCUGGUACCUUCGGUGCCCGAGUUGUAAUUUGGAGAGGGCAACUUUGGGGCCGUUCCUUGUCUAUGUUCCUUGGAACAGGACGUCAUAGAGGGUGAGAAUCCCGUGUGGCGAGGAGUGCGGUUCUUUGUAAAGUGCCUUCGAAGAGUCGAGUUGUUUGGGAAUGCAGCUCUAAGUGGGUGGUAAAUUCCAUCUAAAGCUAAAUAUUGGCGAGAGACCGAUAGCGAACAAGUACAGUGAUGGAAAGAUGAAAAGAACUUUGAAAAGAGAGUGAAAAAGUACGUGAAAUUGUUGAAAGGGAAGGGCAUUUGAUCAGACAUGGUGUUUUGUGCCCUCUGCUCCUUGUGGGUAGGGGAAUCUCGCAUUUCACUGGGCCAGCAUCAGUUUUGGUGGCAGGAUAAAUCCAUAGGAAUGUAGCUUGCCUCGGUAAGUAUUAUAGCCUGUGGGAAUACUGCCAGCUGGGACUGAGGACUGCGACGUAAGUCAAGGAUGCUGGCAUAAUGGUUAUAUGCCGCCCGUCUUGACACCCCCGAACACA
rnacentral:rRNA from 1 species